rnacentral:rRNA from 1 species
UGAUUUCCCUAGUAACGGCGAGUGAAGAGGAAAGAGCUCAAAGUUGGAAACUGUUUGGCUUAGCUAAACCGUAUUGUAAACUGUAGAAACAUUUUCCUGGCACACCAGAUUAAUAAGUCCUUUGGAACAAGGCAUCAUGGAGGGUGAGAAUCCCGUCUUUGAUCUGAGUAGUUGUCUUUUGUGAUAUGUUUUCAAAGAGUCAGGUUGUUUGGGAAUGCAGCCUAAAUUGGGUGGUAAAUCUCACCUAAAGCUAAAUAUUUGCGAGAGACCGAUAGCGAACAAGUACCGUGAGGGAAAGAUGAAAAGAACUUUGAAAAGAGAGUUAAACAGUAUGUGAAAUUGUUAAAAGGGAACCGUUUGGAGCCAGACUGGUUUGACUGUAAUCAACCUAGAAUUCGUUUUGGGUGCACUUGCAGUCUAUACCUGCCAACAACAGUUUGAUUUGGAGGACAAAAUUAAUAGGAAUGUAGCCUCUCGAGGUGUUAUAGACUAUUAUCAUACUCUGGAUUGGACUGAGGAACGCAGCGAAUGCCUUUAGGCAAGAUUGCUGGGUGCUUUCGCUAAUAAAUGUUAGAAUUUCUGCUUCGGGUGGUGCUAAUGUUUAAAGGAGGAACACAUCUAGUAUAUUUUUU